rnacentral:rRNA from 1 species
UAUCUCUGUAGAGUCUGCAUAUCAAUAAGCGGAGGAAAAGAAACUAACAAGGAUUCCCUUAGUAACGGCGAGUGAAGCGGGAAGAGCUCAAAUUUGAAAUCUUCAAGGUUUUACCUUGACGAAUUGUAGUUUAAAGAAGUGUUUUCUGUUGAAGUUUCGGUAAAAGUUCUUUGGAAUAGGACAUCAUAGAGGGUGAGAAUCCCGUAUUUGACCGUUAUUUUCAGCUGUGUGAUACACUUUCAAAGAGUCGGAUUGUUUGGGAAUGCAGUCCAAAAUGGGUGGUAAAUUUCAUCUAAAGCUAAAUAUUGGCGAGAGACCGAUAGCGAACAAGUACCGUGAGGGAAAGAUGAAAAGAACUUUGAAAAGAGAGUUAAACAGUACGUGAAAUUGUCAAAAGGGAAGCGUUUGACACCAGUGUUGUUUUUCCGAAAAUCAAUUACGAAUGGCUUGAUUCUGUGUUGUAUUGACCUUAUCAGCUUUCUGCACUUUUUUCGAGUCUUUCUUAAUGCACUUUUCGGUUAACAAGUCAACAUCAAUUUCUUUUGUUGUAAAAGAGUCAUUGGAAGGUGGCUUUCACUUCGGUGAAAGUGUUUAUAGCCUUUGGCUUCUGCAAUCGGAGAGAUUGAGGUCUGCAGCGUAGAUCCUUCGGGGCUAGAUACGUAGAUGCUAAGUUAUAGUUUUUUAUAGACAACUUGUUGACUAUAAUUAAUCAUGUAGCUUACUCGUUUGCGCUAUUUUACCUACGCUUAGGAUGUUGAAGAUGUAGCACAUCAU